AUUGAACGCUGGCGGCAGGCCUAACACAUGCAAGUCGAACGAGUGGCGGACGGGUGAGUAAUGUCUGGGAAACUGCCCGAUGGAGGGGGCUAACUACUGGAAACGGUAGCUAAUACCGCAUACCAUCGGAUGUGCCCAGAUGGGAUUCGCUAGUAGGUGGGGUAAUGGCUCACCUAGGCGACGAUCCCUAGCUGGUCGGAGAGGAUGAAAAGCCACACGGGAACUGAGAAACGGUCAAGACUCCUACGGGAGGCAGCAGUGGGGAAUAUUGCACAAUGGGCGCAAGCCUGAUGCAGCCAUGCCGCGUGUAUGAAGAAGGCCUUCGGGUUGUAAAGUACUUUCAGCGAGGAGGCGUUACUCGCAGAAGAAGCACCGGCUAACUCCGUGCCAGCAGCCGCGGUAAUUC
rnacentral:rRNA from 1 species